GCCGUGCGGGCGGCGCGCGCUGCCUCCCGCCCCCAGCGCCGGCCUCCCGCGCUUCGCCAUUUCCCGAGGCGCAAAGCAGUUGCUGAUGGCGAGGGGACUGAUCUUUCCUCACCCAGCGGCGAGACGGGGGCGUCCCUGAGGGUGCUGAGGGCAGCUGGGGUUCCUCUGAAUCUGCUGCAGCAUUCACAGCUGUUGUCAUAAGCCUCAACGGUCUUCCAGUCUGUGUGUACUUUGGUGUGAGAAUGAAGGCCUGGGACAUUGUGGAUUGACCUCUUGAAGUAGAAAUUCAGAUCUUUCUUCUAAUCGUCUUUGUGUGGCCCACCUAAACAAGUAGAAAUUCAAAACAAGAUCCAAAGAAGCCUAGUGGAGGAAGGUGGGAGAACAACAUGUAAAAGGGUAUAAAGGUGAUCUCAAAGGAGAAUGCUCAGGGGGAAUUCAGGGACCAGAGAGUUAAAUGGUUGUAGUUUUAUAGUCUUUAUCAGACCAUCAAGGCUGUAAUCGAAAGAUAGGAGUUAUCAUCUCCAAGAGUUUUGUCAUCUCAAUCAACCUUCAAAGGAAAAUCAUUGCAAGAGAGCCUCUGGGGGACUGAAGACCUGCCCUGUGCCUAAAACCAAAGUGUAGAGCAGCUACUGAAACUGAAGGGAGCUGCUGCUGCUGCUUCUGACCUACUGAACUGUGUGCAAUCCAGAUGAGAAACAGAAGAACAUGGAGGUUUUGCAAUUUGAGCUGAGCCGUGCAGGAGCUCUUUGGCAGAAGAGGCAGCCUCCUGAGGGCUAUACAACAGCUACGCUAAUAUAGAACCCUGCACAGGAGACAACAGCUUUUAAAAUGCAAUCAGGGACUACCAGAAAACACCACAACAAACGCCCAAAACAUGGGAAGGAGCCCACCAGCUGCAGGAUGCCAGCGUGAGGAUCAAAAGAGCAACAUCCCAGGUACAAACAAGAGAACUGUUAAGCUAAUGGGGAGCAUAGGGCGUUCCUGACAUGCUCCAAGUCUUCAGCAAGAAGCAUGGAAGAAGAGUGCAGAAAAAGACCGUGAGAAGACACAUGAGAUAAGAGAUGAGGCCGCUUGCACUGACGGAGCAGGUGGGGAAGAAGACGCAUCUGUUGGCAUCAAGCGCCCGUGUUUAUUACAGCUGGCAAAGAGGUAAGGCCACAGCAGCCAGACGAGGGUGGAAAUAGCCAAGCUGCUGGUCUGCAGCGUUGGCUGUAAAGUCCUCACACGCAGCAGAUGGGAUGAGAUGUGCCAACAGCCCCAAGUCUGCAAGCAGGCAGUAGCUCCAUGGGAUGCUGGAGGACCACAAGACCAGGCACUGACUCAGUCCACGGCAAGUCCCAGCUUCAGACAGCCGUCUGCCAUCUGCUUUGGCCAGACACCGAGACGCUAGCAAUUGGCUGCCGUUACUGUCAUGAGCAAAGUUGUCACAGCCUCCAGUAACAUCAGUAGGAAGAGGUCAGUCCCCAGUGUGACAGAGCAGACGUGGAGGCUGGCAAACUACCCAGGCUCAAGCGAAUUAAGGUGGGAGGAGGUAAAGCAACUAGAAAGGGCAGUUUUUAAAGCUGCACCGAGUAGAAGGUAAGAAAAUAUCAUAAAUUUUAUUUCAUGCCUUCUUGCCAAUUGUUAGAAAUGUGCAGUCCAUAUGAAUUCAUAUAACAAGGAGGGAAUGUUGGGAAAACCAAUAAAGAUUUUGUGGUCUUAACUAUAAUGAAUGUAGUUUGAUAUAGAGUCUGUUUUUCACUGCAUGGCAAAAUGAAUCAUAAAAUACUGGACCUUGAAACUCCUGCAUUUUUUAACAAUAGCCUGGGGACAGUUUACAGUGUAAUGAAUUGUAAUUAACCCACCUUCAAAAUCUUUUAUGAGUAUUUUGCCAAUUAGCUUCGCAUGCUUGCUAAUGACUCAUGGCCAGCGCAUGUCUUUACAGAGCAGCCUUUUACAGCACACGCUAGCCUGUUAAGUCAGCAGAAGUAUGCAGGACAGCGAGGUAGACACAGCUUAGUACAGCCAUGCACCAAGAAGCAGCUGCGAGGUGGAGCCAGCAAAGCUGAGAAAGAACUGCACCACCAUCGUGGAGGGAAAAGGCUCCCACUCAUGUGAUGAGCUUCACACAGCUGGGCUGGAAGAGAAAUGAAAAGGCUGGUGACAGACUCACAGAGAGGUGCUACCUCCACUCCUGUCACUGACGGCUUCGUUGAACAGCGGUUUGAGGACGAAGCAAAUGGGAAGGACAAAGAAGAAAGGAGAUGUGGACAGUCGGCUCUCCUGCUCCCACCUCCGCAACACUAACACGAUGGCUGACACCCCAAGAUGCCAUCUCUGUGUGUGUGUGCGUAAAUCCGAGUCCAUCAGCACUGUGGCUGCUCAGCUAACAGACCCUCAAGACAAAUAAAGAAUAGAGGAUAAAUUGUAAUAUUUGUAAUAUUUUAAAAUGUUUCUGCUGUAAAAAUACUUUUUGACUGGAGGAAUCUUAGCCAGAAAUGUAAUUGCCUUAUAAAGAGUUCUUGUAACGCACUUGGAGAUUGGAUUCA